UCUUCCGGCUGUGGUUGGUGCGCUUCGUAUCACAUGUGGACGUGUGGAGGCGCAAUGGCCCAGUGGUUAGGGCAGCGGACUUGCGGUGAUAGGAUCGCGGUUUCGAUUCCCAGACCGGGCGUUGUGCGUGUUUAUUGAGCGAAAACACCUAAAGCUCCACGAGGCUCCGGAAGGGGAUGGUAGUGAACUCUGCUGUACUCUUUCACCACAACUUUCUCUCACUCUUACUUCCUGUUUCUGUUGUGCCUGUAAUACAAAGGGCCAGUCUUGUCAUACUGUGUCACGCUGAAUAUCCCCGAGAACUACGUUAAGGGUACACGUGUCUGUGGAGUGCUCAGCCACUUGCACGUUAAUUUCACGAGCAGGCUGUUCCGUUAAUCGGAUCAACUGGAGCACUGGACGUCGUAAGUGACGGAGUGCCAACAACAACAAACAUGUGGACGUGGUUUAUACAAAACAACAUAUACACACGAGACAACUUCGGAACUACUACGUUGUUCGAAUUGUUAGAAAUAGCAGCUAAAUAUUUCUCAACACGGACUAUUAUCAAUAUACCGAAAAAUGAAGUCCUAGAGAAAAAAAAAAGUUGAGUUAAGUUUGGCUUGUAAAAGAAUGUGUUCUACAACUCCACUGCGAACAUCCAUCUGGGAACAUUCCUUCUUCAGCUGUUGCAGUGUCUGCUUAAUUUUAACAAGUGGUGCUUUAAAACAAAAAGAAACAUUGAGCAUGAGAGAAACUAAAUUAAAAGAGAAAGCUAAAAAUAAAAACAAAGAUGGAAAACUAAAAAUCAAAGAGAGAAUUUGUUGUGUAGCUCCACCAAAUCACUGCUGAUUGAAGUAGAGCUCUGAUUAAAGGCAUACCUACUUUUUUCAGGUUUAGUGUAUCCUAGACUACAUCAUCCAAUGUGUAAGGACACAUUGGAUGAUGUGUAAGGACACAUUCAAGAAAACAGAGUGUACCAUGAAGAAGGCUUAUCAGCUAUUUUUUGCAAGUAGAAUGAUCACAUAGAAGUUAUCUAUGCUGGCAUUUCAAUGCACCCAACUUUAGAUAUGUUAAUAUUAACUUAACUAUAAUCAUUUUUCUGAUUUUACUAACCUCCAUCAGUCAUAGUGUUUCCUCUUUCUUCCAUUUCAGAUUUCACUUUGUCAAGUUCUUCUGUAAUCUAAAUAAAUAAAUGACACUGAGUUCAUUA